GGCAGCCGCUGGUGUAAAGAACCAGAGGAAAGUCCAUGCUCGCACGCUCUGUGAUGAGCGUAGUGUCUGUGCCAGUCCAAUCAAUAAGGCUGGGCAUCCGCAAGGAUGACGGCGGUCCAAUGCCUAAAGCAUUAAGCCAUGGCGGCGGGCCUGAAAGUGUCACAGUGACGCAGCUCAUUGGGAAACCAUGAGGUGGAACGCGAUAAACCCCGCAGGCGAGAAACCCAAAUUCGGUAGGGGAACUCUCCGAGGCGAAACGAAGCCAUAGGAGAGCUGUACGAGAGUACAGAGAUAAAUGACUGCCGCUUCCCGCAGGGGGAGAACAGAACAUGGCUUACUG
rnacentral:RNase_P_RNA from 1 species